UUUUAAGUCACCACGGAAGUGACUCAGUUUGUGAUACUACCUACCUUCUUACAACAACCACUUACUCUACCAAACGUUACCUUUAGUUCAACCUGUCUGUUAGGGUUCCCUAGAUGGCUAUAGGUAGAUUUUCGGCUUCUUGUGCCAUUCUUGUCUCGCGAGGCCAACUCCCACCCUCUAUUAUGGAGGUAAUUUGCCUCUUGGGCCAAAUCAUAGUUCCUCUCAUCUCCUCCCUCUUGGCAAAGCAAUUAAGGCCUCACCUAUCACGGCCAACUUUUUCAAUCUCGUUAAACCUACCCAAUCUUGUGAAACGCCACAAAAAGGGCAACACCCCACUACAACACUUGGUGACAAACCUAGGCCAAAUCAUAGGUAGAGUCUCUAAUCGCCACUUGGCAACUAGUUGGGUACCCAAGUCACCUGUUUAGCUUAAUUGUUUUGCCACUUGGCAUAACAUAGGUCAGCCAAUACCUGCAUGGUAUACAGUUGCUUCUACUAACAUUUUUUUUUCUUUCAGGUAUGUUUAUAAAUUUUAACUGACAAGCAAGGGGUGACGUGACCACGCAUCCGGAGAUGGGGUCCAGGUGGUUGAUGGAUCGGCGGCUGAAUUCGACCACGAGGUAGCGGCGUCUGAGUCUGAGGGGAUCACGGCAAGAGAUCUUAGCCCACAACAAGAAGCUCUCUGCAGGAUAAUAGGAGACUGAUAUUCCCCACCAGAACAAGUAAAGAAGGAGAGAUGGAGGAGAUUUGCACAGAUAAAAACUUGAAAUAUUGGAAGUUAUCUUGUGGCGAAAAAAUGUUUGAAGACUGUAAACAAAAGCAAGUACAAAGCCCACGUGUGUUUAAAAGCUUGGAACUAUAAAGUAAUAUUUGCCAAUAAUCUGCAUAUAUACUUGAACUAUAUCUCCCAAAUCGUUCUGUGACUUGUGGAGAGAAAAGUAAAGUGGAG